GGCCUAAUGCCACGUUGCUGGUAGCUAUGAUUGCAGUGACCAGUAAUGCUAUGAUUAGGCCUAGAGUAAAUCACUAGUUGAUAUUUCGCUGUUUGAUAGGAACCUGUGGAUCAGUUUGAAUUGUUUAUCCACGGAGCCGGUUUAUGCGAUUACAUUA
rnacentral:snoRNA from 1 species